rnacentral:rRNA from 1 species
GAUGAACGCUGGCGGCGUGCCUAAUACAUGCAAGUCGAGCGAACAGACGAGGAGCUUGCUCCUCUGACGUUAGCGGCGGACGGGUGAGUAACACGUGGAUAACCUACCUAUAAGACUGGGAUAACUUCGGGAAACCGGAGCUAAUACCGGAUAAUAUAUUGAACCGCAUGGUUCAAUAGUGAAAGACGGUUUUGCUGUCACUUAUAGAUGGAUCCGCGCCGCAUUAGCUAGUUGGUAAGGUAACGGCUUACCAAGGCAACGAUGCGUAGCCGACCUGAGAGGGUGAUCGGCCACACUGGAACUGAGACACGGUCCAGACUCCUACGGGAGGCAGCAGUAGGGAAUCUUCCGCAAUGGGCGAAAGCUUGACGGAGCAACGCCGCGUGAGUGAUGAAGGUCUUCGGAUCGUAAAACUCUGUUAUUAGGGAAGAACAAAUAUGUAAGUAACUAUGCACGUCUUGACGGUACCUAAUCAGAAAGCCACGGCUAACUACGUG